GCAAGUCUGGUGCCAGCAGCCGCGGUAAUUCCAGCUCCAAUAGCGUAUAUUAAAGUUGUUGAGGUUAAAAAGCUCGUAGUUGAACCUUGGGCCUAGCCGACCGGUCCGCCUCACCGCGUGCACUGGCUCGGCUGGGUCUUUCCUUCUGGAGAACCGCAUGCCCUUCACUGGGUGUGCCGGGGAACCAGGACUUUUACUCUGAACAAAUUAGAUCGCUUAAAGAAGGCCUAUGCUCGAAUACAUUAGCAUGGAAUAAUAGAAUAGGACGUGUGGUUCUAUUUUGUUGGUUUCUAGGACCGCCGUAAUGAUUAAUAGGGACAGUCGGGGGCAUCAGUAUUCAAUUGUCAGAGGUGAAAUUCUUGGAUUUAUUGAAGACUAACUACUGCGAAAGCAUUUGCCAA
rnacentral:rRNA from 1 species